ACCGCWUWGAGCAAAACGAAUGAGGCCUCGAAGUCCGAUGACGAAGUAAUUCAAUCUCGAUAGUGUAUGUGCCUGAUGGGUUGGCGUUGAGGAGUGCCUCUCGCUGCUCGUUAUGGUAGCAAGCACAGUUGAGACGCAUUUUGCUUUGUCGGUAGGGCGUCGUAACCUGUAGAGUCAAUACAAAAGCGUUUUGAGGGCUGCGAUGUUGGUAGCACUUGGCUCGUUAGAUCCGAGUGUAAUUAGCGCGCGGUCUGAAAUCGCUACUCUACUGUGGAUACGUCUUGUACUUUUGCGCAAGAAAACCGGAAGGUCUAAAUUCCAGGUUGUUGAUCCACUUCGGUGGGAGACGACUUGACGAGUUUGGCUGGUAGCUGGAUUUCUAUUGCUUUGUACUUGACGGUUUACGGCGAGUAGGUCGGUUACUCAUUCGACCCGUCUUGAAACACGGACCAAGGAGUCGAACAUGUACGCAAGUCAUUGAGAUCCUGUAACUCAAAGGCGAAAUGAAAUGUGAAGGUCAAUUUUAUUGACUGAGACGUGAUCCGGAACUCUAUGUAGUGACGGCGCAACGUCCACCCGUUCAAUGUGGACUUGUCCAUAGAGCGGAGUGAGAGCGUACCUGUUCUAACCCGAAAGAUGAUGAGCUAUGCCUGGGCAAGACGAAGCCAGAGGAAACUCUGGUGGAGGUCUGAAGCGAUUCUGACGUGCAAAUCGAUCGUCUGACCUGGGUAUAGGGGCGAAAGACCAAUCGAAUCAUCUAGUAGCUG
rnacentral:rRNA from 1 species